rnacentral:tRNA from 2 species
GCGCCUAUAGCUCAACUGGAUAGAGUGUCGGGCUUCGAACCCGAAGGUUGGGGGUUCGAGUCCCUCUAGGCGCG